UAAUAUCUAUGUAAAUGUAAAAGAGG
rnacentral:piRNA from 1 species